rnacentral:sRNA from 1 species
CGUUGUACGGAUAGCACGUGGGGGUCGGGGGGU